GUGCUCGCUUCAGCAGCACAUGUACUAAAACUGGAAUGCUACAGAGAAGAUUAGCACGGCCCCUGCGCAAGGACGACACGCAAAUUCAUGAAGCCUUCCAUGUUUUU
rnacentral:snRNA from 1 species